rnacentral:rRNA from 1 species
UACGUAGGGGGCUAGCGUUGUCCGGAUUUAUUGGGCGUAAAGAGCGUGUAGGCGGCCAGGUAGGUCUGCUGUGAAAACUCGAGGCUCAACCUCGAGAUGUCGGCGGAAACCAUCUGGCUAGAGUCCGGAAGAGGAGAGUGGAAUUCCUGGUGUAGCGGUGAAAUGCGCAGAUAUCAGGAAGAACACCAAUGGCGAAAGCAGCUCUCUGGGACGGUACUGACGCUGAGACGCGAAAGCGUGGGGAGCGAACAGG